rnacentral:rRNA from 1 species
UACGUAGGUGGCAAGCGUUGUCCGGAUUUACUGGGCGUAAAGCGCGCGUAGGCGGCUAAUUAAGUCAAAUGUGAAAUCCCCGAGCUUAACUUGGGAAUUGCAUUCGAUACUGGUUAGCUAGAGUGUGGGAGAGGAUGGUAGAAUUCCAGGUGUAGCGGUGAAAUGCGUAGAGAUCUGGAGGAAUACCGAUGGCGAAGGCAGCCAUCUGGCCUAACACUGACGCUGAGGUGCGAAAGCAUGGGGAGCAAACAGG